ACUUCCGAUCGGAUAUACAUAUAUCGCAUUUACGUAAAAGAUACAAAGCUCUAUUUAAAAAAUACAGACAGUUGUAUAGGUUAUAUCGGCAAAAGGCCACCAACACGCAAAGGUGUAGCAGACGAAGUCUACCUCAAAACUAUGGUGGAUUUAUCACAGAAUUGAAAAAAUGCGCGCGCGCACAUUAACACACAUUAUCACUGACUCCUGUUUUGACAAACCAACUAACAAGAUGGCAACAUUCAGCUUAUGGGUAACCGAAUAACAUUAAAUUGAGUACGCAUCAUAGUCCCCUCUUAGACUUUCUUUUUACCCACUUCAAAUGUAAACGCACCCGAAGACAAAGCCGCACUGUUUGGAACUUUACGAGUAACGCAGUGGAUAUAAAACAGACAAGAAUGCGCUUGAUAAACCAAGCAAUUAUCGCUCUCAAUGGCCUCUGACGGUACAAUAACUGAUAAUAGUCCUCGAUUUCAAGCUUGAAAGCGCUUACUUGAAAUUACGUAUAUAUUCUUUGUGCCAUAUCUGUCUUGUAAGCUCAUGUGACCGAAAGCAACAGUUUUUGCGUCUACAAUUCGUCUGUUCUGAAUCAAACACGUUUUUAUUCAUGUCACUUCUACCUUUAUUAUUGGACGUUUGCUUGAGAAAUGUAAUUUGUUUUGAUUGCCGCCUUCCCUCCACAAAUUGAGGACUUGCGUACACAAUGCACUGUAGCUUAUACGUUGUCGUGUUGUUUGCCAAAAUCAACUACCACGAAAAUUUAGCUGCUGGCAUAGAAACCAUUAGAA